rnacentral:piRNA from 1 species
UAAUUUCAUCUUCAAACUUAAUAGUCCAUC